rnacentral:sRNA from 1 species
UGUCCUUCAUGCUUGAGUGGUGCAGUAUUCUAGUCAGAGCUGUUAAUUCUGAAGGCGGGGCUAAAAAUCCGUCAAAGGGCACAUCGAUGAAGUUCCUGGUAUGGGCUUUCGACGCCCAGUCGGGGGUCUAUGCUGGGAGUAAGGAUUUGGGGGCGAUCCACAAAGGCAUGUGGGCGUUGACCCUCUAUCCGUGGAGACCUAAAUUAUUGCAAUGAUUUAGGAUGAACCUGCAAUGUGGUAGUUCGUCUGCUACGUGCAGUGUAGCCUGCCUUGAGUGGAAUAGGUAGAUGAAUAUUUUUAAGACAUUUAUUUUAUGGGCCCAUAAAAUAAAUGCUUCCGUAUUCUAAACCUAUACUGCAAAAGAGGCUAGGAAUUAGCGUGCCUGUCGAGGAAAACUCCUAGACUGUUCCCUUAGUGGAGAUAUAUUAGGGAUUAUAGUGCAGACUUAGUGGUGAUCUAGUUUUAUAUUUGGCGACAAUAUAAAUAUGGGCUUAAAGGGAAACCGCUGAUCCGGCAACGGAACAGUGCCCAUAUGGGAAAUCCUACUGGACCUAAGCUGCAAAGUUUACUGAAUAUAUCGCCCUCAAGUGGUAUCUAUAG